rfam:Triticum aestivum genome assembly, contig: Triticum_aestivum_CS42_TGACv1_scaffold_061625_1DL
CAUAUAUUCCCUCCGUCCAGAAAUACUUAUCGGGAGAAUGGAUGUAUCUAAUCGUAUUUUAGUUUUAGAUGCAUCCGCUUUUACCCAUUUUUUGCGACAAGUAUUUCUGAACGGAGGAAGUAUAAA